GUCGGGAUAGCUCAGCUAGUAGAGCAGAGGACUAAAAAUCCUCAUGUCACCGUUCCUGGCA
rfam:Lupinus angustifolius cultivar Tanjil chromosome LG03, whole genome shotgun sequence.